rnacentral:rRNA from 1 species
CCAGACUCCUACGGGAGGCAGCAGUGGGGGAUAUUGCACAAUGGGGGCAACCCUGAUGCAGCGACGCCGCGUGAGCGAUGGAGUACUUCGGUAUGUAAAGCUCUGUCAGCAGGGAAGAGAAUGACGGUACCUGACUAAGAAGCCCCGGCUGACUACGUGCCAGCAGCCGCGGUAAUACGUAGGGGGCAAGCGUUAUCCGGAUUUACUGGGUGUAAAGGGAGCGUAGACGGCGAUGCAAGCCAGAUGUGAAAGCCCGGGGCUCAACCCCGGGACUGCAUUUGGAACUGUGUGGCUGGAGUGUCGGAGAGGCAGGCGGAAUUCCUAGUGUAGCGGUGAAAUGCGUAGAUAUUAGGAGGAACACCAGUGGCGAAGGCGGCUUACUGGACUGUAAAUGACGCUGAGGCUCGAAAGCGUGGGGAGCAAACAGGAUUAGAUACCCCCGUA